AUCAAGUUUGUUCAAAAUUGUCGAUAGAUUACGGUGUUUCCAGUGUAGGCUUUUGGAUCCAGUACAUUUCACAUUUUGAAUGCCCUGAUCCAGUUUCCAUCGAAAUUGUCAAAAGUCUAUUUUUGAAAAUAUACUUUUGGUCUUUGGUAAUUAUUCAUAUUGGAAGAACACCCACAAAAUUAGUCAGGAACUCAUUUAUUUUGGAGCGGUGCUAAAAGGAAACAACUGGGCCUCAACAUUAAAAAUGUAUCCUUUUCAAGCUCACGCCUCGUGCAAUUGGUCUCUCAUUUGCUGGCUUCCAAAUUAUGCAAAUGUCUUAUGAAUAAUAUUGAGAAACACGAAUCAUGUGCAAAUUCAAAUGAAUGUGAUUAAAUAGAAUAUUAUUAUCGUUGCUGACGUCUGGCAGUUGUGAUGGUUCUUAUAUGCCUGUUUAUUUUGAGUGCGCGACCUGAGGCAAUGCAUUGUGCACUGUACGUUGCGUUAUCUAAUCAAAGCCCCCGAUAGACACCCAUUUGCAAACAUACAUACAUAUAUCGUUAUGAAUAUUUACAUGUAUAUGUUGUCUUUGGGGUCAGAUGCCCUCGUCUGCCUCUCUUCGUACACAUAAAAAAUAAAAGCAGAAAUUUUGUUAUUUCAACU